rnacentral:rRNA from 1 species
GCGUGGACGCCAGUCUGCGUGGAGCCGACCUUGAAAUACCACCCUUUAAUGUUUGAUGUUCUAACGUGGAUCCGUAAUCCGGGUUGCGGACAGUGUCUGGUGGGUAGUUUGACUGGGGCGGUCUCCUCCUAAAGAGUAACGGAGGAGCACGAAGGUUGGCUAAUCCUGGUCGGACAUCAGGAGGUUAGUGCAAUGGCAUAAGCCAGCUUGACUGCGAGCGUGACGGCGCGAGCAGGUGCGAAAGCAGGUCAUAGUGAUCCGGUGGUUCUGAAUGGAAGGGCCAUCGCUCAACGGAUAAAAGGUACUCCGGGGAUAACAGGCUGAUACCGCCCAAGAGUUCAUAUCGACGGCGGUGUUUGGCACCUCGAUGUCGGCUCAUCACAUCCUGGGGCUGAAGUAGGUCCCAAGGGUAUGGCUGUUCGCCAUUUAAAGUGGUACGCGAGCUGGGUUUAGAACGUCGUGAGACAGUUCGGUCCCUAUCUGCCGUGGGCGCUGGAGAACUGAGGGGGGCUGCUCCUAGUACGAGAGGACCGGAGUGGACGCAUCACUGGUGUUCGGGUUGUCAUGCCAAUGGCACUGCCCGGUAGCUAAAUGCGGAAGAGAUAAGUGCUGAAAGCAUCUAAGCACGAAACUUGCCCCGAGAUGAGUUCUCCCUGAGACUUAGAGUCUCCUGAAGGAACGUUGAAGACGACGACGUUGAUAGGCCGGGUGUGUAAGCGCAGCGAUGCGUUGAGCUAACCGGUACUAAUGAACCGUGAGGCUUAACCUU